UCUAGCACCCUGAAUGCACCAGAUCUCAUUGGAAUUUGGAAGCUAAGUAGGUCUGGUUAGUACUUGGAUGAGAGAAACCCACAGAUCUAAGAU
rnacentral:rRNA from 1 species